rnacentral:tRNA from 1 species
GCCCGUGUGGCUCAGUGGUUGAGCGUCGGCCUAUGAACCAGGAGGUCAGGGUUCGAUUCCCAGUCAGGGCA